rnacentral:rRNA from 1 species
UGAGGAAUAUUGGACAAUGGGCGCAAGCCUGAUCCAGCCAUGCCGCGUGCAGGAUGACGGUCCUAUGGAUUGUAAACUGCUUUUAUACGGGAAGAAACCCUGGCUCGUGAGCCAGACUGACGGUACCGUAGGAAUAAGGAUCGGCUAACUCCGUGCCAGCAGCCGCGGUAAUACGGAGGAUCCAAGCGUUAUCCGGAAUCAUUGGGUUUAAAGGGUCCGUAGGCGGCCCCGUAAGUCAGUGGUGAAAUCUCCCGGCUCAACCGGGAAAUUGCCAUUGAUACUGCAGGGCUUGAAUUAUUGGGAAGUAACUAGAAUAUGUAGUGUAGCGGUGAAAUGCUUAGAUAUUACAUGGAAUACCGAUUGCGAAGGCAGGUUACUAUCAAUACAUUGACGCUGAUGGACGAAAGCGUGGGUAGCGAACA